rnacentral:rRNA from 1 species
ACUCCUACGGGAGGCAGCAGUGGGGAAUAUUGCACAAUGGGGGAAACCCUGAUGCAGCCAUGCCGCGUGUGUGAAGAAGGCCUUCGGGUUGUAAAGCACUUUCAGUAGGGAGGAAAGGGUGAGUCUUAAUACGGCUCAUCUGUGACGUUACCUACAGAAGAAGGACCGGCUAACUCCGUGCCAGCAGCCGCGGUAAUACGGAGGGUCCGAGCGUUAAUCGGAAUUACUGGGCGUAAAGCGUGCGCAGGCGGUUUGUUAAGCGAGAUGUGAAAGCCCUGGGCUCAACCUAGGAAUAGCAUUUCGAACUGGCGAACUAGAGUCUUGUAGAGGGGGGUAGAAUUCCAGGUGUAGCGGUGAAAUGCGUAGAGAUCUGGAGGAAUACCGGUGGCGAAGGCGGCCCCCUGGACAAAGACUGACGCUCAUGCACGAAAGCGUGGGGAGCAAACAGGAUUAGAUACCCUGGUAGUCCACGCCGUAAACGAUGUCUACUCGGAGUUUGGUGUCUUGAACACUGGGCUCUCAAGCUAACGCAUUAAGUAGACCGCCUGGGGAGUACGGCCGCAAGGUUAAAACUCAAAUGAAUUGACGGGGGCCCGCACAAGCGGUGGAGCAUGUGGUUUAAUUCGAUGCAACGCGAAGAACCUUACCUACUC